GAAAUCACUAAUUCUACCCCAGGUCUGCUACAGCAUUUUAACCCGGCUCGGCAGUGUAAAGACAGUUUAAGUUAGCCUAAUGUUAGACAACGAAUGAGUAUGUACAUAACGUUACUUUUAUAACAACCAUUUUUUAUUCAGUAAAUAGUGUUAUAGUUGGCGUAGCCCUGGUGCCAACCGACUGACGUCACACAGGCGACACUGGUUGGAUCCGGUUGGAUCUAUGGGAAGUGAGGUCCAAAAACACACCUGCAAAUACCGCUUCUCGCCAUUGGUACCGCCGAAGUGAACGAAAUGGAAAUCUUGGAGAUAGGCCUAUUUCACAUUUCCAGAUGUGAUGGGCCACAGAGAAGGGUGAGAACAUGGUGUGGCCGGAGAAGAAGACACACCACCUGCACAUCUUUGUUUUCCCUUACAUACUGCCGCUACAUGUCCAUAUUUUUUUUAACAUUUAUAACAUCUAAGAGGUCAUCAUCAGAAUCCUGGAAAGGAAUGAAAGUUUCAGCCAGAAGACGUUUUGCCAUUAGAAGCUUCAGAAACCAAGCAAUUGAUUGUCUUGAUUAUUUAUUUAUUUAUUGUUUGUUUUUUAUGCUUGAAUAAAGAACCUACUGAGGAAAUGUAAUUCUUUGAGUACAGCUACAUUUUGGAUGUAAGUGUCCCCGGUAUGACUCGAAGUUUGAAUGUGGAAAAUAUCCUGUGGUUAAGUGUAAUCUGCCUUUUGACAACAGAGGGUUAUAUUCAAUAAGCAUGAAUGCAACUGAAAAAUAUUAGAAAUACAUUAAAACCCACUGAGCCAGCAUUACGACCUGCUAUUAUUGGCCUAGUACAGCGCACUAGGCUUUUCUUAACCUAAGUGCUACUUUGUAACCUGACAAUUAUUGACUGUUAAUUAAAAUUGGUAUACAAUCAUAAAUUACAUGGCAUACAAGUGACAACAUCUUAUAAUCAGUGGUUAUUGCAUCAAUCCUUUGUUUUCUUAAAGAACUGUUUUAUGAGCUAGCCAAAGUGGUUAGCCACUUCCAUUCCUGAUGUAGAGGUCAUGUGCUUCCAGAACCUUCAUGCAAAAUAUACAAGCAAAAGUUGUAAACAUGUUUUGGUUUUCAUAUUUCAUAUACAAAGUAUGAGGUAUUUGUGUAUAAGGGAAAAUAUGUAUUCACAAAUAUGUAGCCAGUGCUUUUGUACAUUUUGCAU